rnacentral:rRNA from 1 species
CCUACGGGGGGCAGCAGUGAGGGAUAUUGGUCAAUGGGGGAAACCCUGAACCAGCAACGCCGCGUGAGGGAAGACGGUUUUCGGAUUGUAAACCUCUGUCCUCUGUGAAGAUAAUGACGGUAGCAGAGGAGGAAGCUCCGGCUAACUACGUGCCAGCAGCCGCGGUAAUACGUAGGGAGCAAGCGUUAUCCGGAUUUACUGGGUGUAAAGGGCGUGUAGGCGGGCCUGCAAGUCAGAAGUGAAAUCUGGGGGCUUAACCCCUAAACUGCUUUUGAAACUGUGGGUCUUGAGUGAUGGAGAGGCAG